AGAUGGCGACCGGCGCACGGGUGAGUAACACGUAUCCAACCUGCCGAUAACUCGGGGAUAGCCUUUCGAGAGAAAGAUUAAUACCCGAUGGCAUAAUAGAACCGCAUGGUUUGAUUAUUAAAGAAUUUCGGUUAUCGAUGGGGAUGCGUUCCAUUAGGCAGUUGGUGGGGUAACGGCCCACCAAACCUUCGAUGGAUAGGGGUUCUGAGAGGAAGGUCCCCCACAUUGGAACUGAGACACGGUCCAAACUCCUACGGGAGGCAGCAUG
rnacentral:rRNA from 1 species